CUCGCCUACAUGAAGUUGGAAUCGCUAGUAAUCGCGAAUCAGAAUGUCGCGGUGAAUACGUUCCCGGGUCUUGUACACACCGCCCGUCACACCACGAGAGUUUACAACACCCGAAGUCAGUGGCCUAACCGCAAGGAGGGAGCUGCCUAAGGUGGGGUAGAUGAUUGGGGUGAAGUCGUAACAAGGUACC
rnacentral:rRNA from 1 species